rnacentral:rRNA from 1 species
AUGGAAAGAUUUCUGGUGAGUGCAGCUACAGGAACGAUGAAUUCCCUCCUGGGGAAGCUGGGAACCAUCUUGAACAAUGAGUACAAGCUGCUAAAGGGUGUUCGUGAUGACAUCAAGUUCCUCAAGAGAGAGCUCGAGGCCAUGGCAGCAUUUCUCCUCAGGAUGGCAGACAUGGAGGAACCUAACCCCCAAUCCCAGCUUCAUGCUGACGAUGUGCGGGAGCUGUCCUAUGACAUUGAGGACAAAAUUGACAAGUUUAUGUUACUUGUCAACCAUGAGUCCAGUUCUCAGUCAGAAAGCUUCAAGGAACUUCUUAACAAAUGCAUGAAAAAGAUAGCAGACAUCAAGACUCGCCAUAAGAUCGCCAAGGAUGUCAAAGACAUCAAGAGCCAAGUCAAGGAGCUGGCCGAGAGGCAUGCAAGGUACAAGAUCGACGAGUCUUCCAAGCCUAGAAAUGAAAAGGUUGACCCACGACUUUGUGCGGUAUUUAAAGAUACAACAGAGCUUGUUGGCAUCGAUGCCCCGAGAGAUGACCUUGUGAAGUUGCUAACUGACGAGAAAGGAGAAUCAGCAUAUCAGCUCAAGGUUGUCUCUAUUGUUGGAACUGGGGGGCUAGGUAAGACGACCCUUGCUAGACAGGUUUAUAACAAGAUUGGAGCAAACUUUGAUUGUCGAGCAUUUGUGCCGAUCUCACGAAGCCCUGAUAUGUCGAAGAUCUUGAGUUCUAUAUUUUCCCAAUUGCGCAACCAAGAUCAAUAUCAUGCUGGAGCAGGGGAUCCAACACUCCUAAUUGAGCAAAUCAGAAAAUUUCUAGAAAAUAAAAGGUAUUUGAUCGUAAUUGAUGAUAUAUGGGAUGCACAAACAUGGAAAUUUUUGGAAUGUGCUUUUGUCAAGAGCGGUCUUGGCAGUAGAGUAAUGAGCACAACACGUAAUAAUGAUAUAGCAAAUGCAUGCUGCUCUUGUGACAGGGAUCUUGUCUACAAGAUCAAACCACUUAGUGAUGCUGACUCAGCAAAGUUAUUUUUCAAGAGAAUAUUUGGUGAUGAAGAAAGUUGUCCUUCUAGCUUGAAAGAAGUCUCAAAAGAUAUUUUGAGAAAGUGUGGUGGUUUGCCACUGGCUAUCACUGCCAUAUCUAGCUUAUUGGCAACUGGGAAAACAGAACAGGAGUGGAAUCAGGUACGGAGUUCUAUUACCUCUGUUGAAGGCAAAAGUUCUGAUAUAGAGGCUAUGAAAUACAUUUUGUCUCUGAGCUAUUUCGACCUUCCAUUCCACCUAAGAAGUUGCCUACUAUACCUUACUAUGUUUCCUGAAGAUUAUGAGGUUGAAAGGAAGCGGUUAGUACACAGAUGGAUUUCUGAGGGUCUUAUCCGUGGCAAAGACAGAGAAGAUCUUGUUGAAUUGGGAAAUACGUAUUUCCAUGAGCUUAUUAACAGAUGUUUAAUACAACCGGUGGAAGUAAAAUAUAAUGGUAAGGCAUCAAGUUGCCGAGUCCAUGACACCGUCCUUGAUUUCCUCAUUUACAUGUCUGACAAAGAGAACUUUUGUACUUUGUUAAGCAAUAAAGCAAAGUCAGAUCGCAGAAUUCGUCGCAUCUCUCUGAUGGGAAAUGAAGAUCCAGAAAUUAUCGAGCAAUUGGAUUUAUCACAUGCUCGUUCACUUGGUGUCUUUCGGCCUACCAACCAGUUGCCUUCCCUUGUGAAGUCAGAAGCUCUGCGUGUGCUGGACUUAAGAUGGUGUGCAGAAUUGGGAAAUCAUGUCAAAGAUAUUGGGAGACUUAUUCAGUUGAGAUACUUGAACAUCAAUGGUGUACGUGUAACUGAGCUUCCUAAACAAAUUGGAGACUUGGAGCAUCUAGAGACACUUAUUACGGAUCCCAAUCUUUCUGUGCUACCUGAAUCAGCUAGUCGGCUAAAACGCCUGGCUCGUCUGUCUGUUGGAAAUAGCACCAAAUUGCCGGAUGCGUUUGGAAACAUGGAGAACUUGCAAGAGCUUUGGCAAAUAAACCCCUUUAUUCAAUCACCGAACUUUGUAGAAGAGCUUGGCAAACUAAUAAAUCUAAUGAAGCUGAAAAUUUUGUUGAGGUCAAGCGGAUUUGCAAGCUAUGAUGAAAAAAAAUGUAUAGUAUCCUCCCUCUUUGAGUUGGAUAACUGCAACCUUCGCAAGCUGUCUAUUACAUUUGAGUGGGGAGUAGAGGAUGGCUUCAUAAGAGAUAUGUGCUUCCCAAGUCUCAAUUGUGUCAAAAACAUUUGUCUCUGGCAUAGAGAAACCCGUUUGUUUGCCAAGUGGUUGCUUUCACUUUCCAACAUGCAAAAAUUGUGCAUCAACCGUGGGAAGAUAGAACAACAGGAUGUUGAGAUGAUUGGAACCAUAUCUACCCUGGUCAAAUUUAAGUUGUUCAUAGACAGUGGAGAUCCCAUCAGCAUCUUCAUCAGGAGUGAGGGAUUUCAACAGUUACAGAUGCUUGUACUCAAGUGGUUUAAUGGGUUGAAGUUUGAAGCGGGCUCUAUGCCGAGUCUCAAGGUGCUUCAACUCCUUGUUUACGUGCGUAAGUUAAAAGAUUCUGGUAGUGAUUUUGAUUUUGGUAUCCAACACCUCGCCAGCCUUGCUAGCCUCCAUGUUCGUAUAUUCUGCUUGAGAGCGAAGGCGGCCGAUGUGGAGGCUCUGGAGCAUGCUUUGAAGAGCAUGGUGGAGGCAAACCUGAACCAUCCUGCAUUGGAAAUACGUAAAUGGUGUGAAAAGGACAUGUUACCAGAUGAGUUAUAA